CCUACGGGAGGCAGCAGUGGGGAAUAUUGGGCAAUGGGCGCAAGCCUGACCCAGCAACGCCGCGUGAAGGAAGAAGGCUUUCGGGUUGUAAACUUCUUUUCUCAGGGACGAAGAAAGUGACGGUACCUGAGGAAUAAGCCACGGCUAACUACGUGCCAGCCGCCGCGGUAAUACGUAGGUGGCAAGCGUUAUCCGGAUUUAUUGGGUGUAAAGGGCGUGUAGGCGGGAGCGCAAGUCAGAUGUGAAGACUCAGGGCUCAACCCUGAGCCUGCAUUUGAAACUGUGUUUCUUGAGUGCUGGGGAGGCAAUCGGAAUUCCGGGUGUAGCGGGGAAAUGCGUAGAUAUACGGAGGAACACCAGUGGCGAAGGCGGAUUGCUGGACAGUAACUGACGCUGAGGCGCGAAAGCGUGGGGAGCAAACAGGAUUAGAUACCCCAGUAGUC
rnacentral:rRNA from 1 species